rnacentral:snRNA from 1 species
UGAACUUGUGCAUUUACUUUUAU